rnacentral:rRNA from 1 species
UACAGAGGUCCCAAGCGUUGUUCGGAUUCACUGGGCGUAAAGGGUGCGUAGGCGGUCGGGUAAGUCUGAUGUGAAAUCUCACAGCUUAACUGUGAAACUGCAUUGGAUACUAUCCGGCUCGAGGAAUGGAGGGGAGACUGGAAUACUUGGUGUAGCAGUGAAAUGCGUAGAUAUCAAGUGGAACACCAGUGGCGAAGGCGAGUCUCUGGACAAUUCCUGACGCUGAGGCACGAAAGCCAGGGGAGCAAACGGG